rnacentral:rRNA from 1 species
GACGAACGCUGGCGGCGUGCUUAACACAUGCAAGUCGAACGGUGAAGCUCCAGCUUGCUGGAGUGGAUCAGUGGCGAACGGGUGAGUAACACGUGAGCAACCUGCCCCUGACUCUGGAAUAAGCGCUGGAAACGGCGUCUAAUACUGGAUACGAGAAGGGUCCGCAUGGGCACUUUCUGGAAAGUUUUUCGGUUGGGGAUGGGCUCGCGGCCUAUCAGCUUGUUGGUGAGGUAAUGGCUCACCAAGGCGACGACGGGUAGCCGGCCUGAGAGGGCGACCGGCCACAAUGGGACUGAGACACGGCCCAGACUCCUACGGGGGGGAAGAGUGGGGAAUAUUGCACAAUGGGCCGAAGGCUGAUUGAGCGGCGGCGGGGUGGGGAUGACGGCCUUUGGGUUGUAAACCUCUUUCAGCAGGGAAGAAGCGAAAGUGACGGUACCUGCAGAAGAAGCACCGGCUAACUACGUG